rnacentral:rRNA from 1 species
AACGAACGCUGGCGGCAGGCUUAACACAUGCAAGUCGAACGCCCCGCAAGGGGAGUGGCAGACGGGUGAGUAACGCGUGGGAAUCUACCCAGUUCUACGGAAUAACCCAGGGAAACUUGGACUAAUACCGUAUACGCCCUACGGGGGAAAGAUUUAUCGGAAUUGGAUGAGCCCGCGUUGGAUUAGCUAGUUGGUGGGGUAAUGGCCUACCAAGGCGACGAUCCAUAGCUGGUCUGAGAGGAUGAUCAGCCACACUGGGACUGAGACACGGCCCAGACUCCUACGGGAGGCAGCAGUGGGGAAUAUUGGACAAUGGGCGCAAGCCUGAUCCAGCCAUGCCGCGUGAGUGAUGAAGGCCUUAGGGUUGUAAAGCUCUUUCAGUGGGGACGAUAAUGACGGUACCCACGGAAGAAGCCCCGGCUAACUUCGUGCCAGCCGCCGCCGUAA